ACCUUAUCUUAUCUUUUCUUUUAUUUUGUCUAUAAAAGGGAUAUCCUCACCCUUGUUGAGACAGAGCUGUUUUUAGAGUUUUCUUUCAAGAAUUUGUUUUCUUUUCAAGUAUAAUAUCUAAGUGCUCUCUCUCUCUCUCUCUCUUCCUUGUAAAAUUUCCCAGUUUAUGAUAUAUAAAUUAAGUGUUGAAGAAUUAUGUUGUUUUGAAGAUUCUGGUUCGCCGUAGUGUCAUGGAUGAAGACAUGGCGAGCCUCUGCCGAGCAUGUCUCCUCGAGCAUGAGAAAUCGAGGACUGCUUGUUUCACCACAACGAAGCCAAAGCCAGUGAAGAUGACUAGUGUUUCGGAGAAGGAGAAACAGCCGAUCUCGGCUGAGGGCAAGCUCGCGAGCUUUUUAAACUCUUUGUUCAGGAAUGGAAAUUCGAAGAAGAUGAAGAAGUCAAGCUCAUCAUCAAUUGGAGGUUACGGGGAUGCACGUGUGGAGAGAAAAGCAAAGCCACUCAAGCAUAUCUACGUGUUCAUGGGCAUCUUUAUAUUUCUGUAUAAAACCUCAAUGAAUUUGAAAUGUAAACUGUUUUUCUUUUCAUAUUUCUCUCUGUUUUUAUUUUUUAUUUUUUUUUAUUAUUAUUUUUAAACAUGGAUUUUGUAAGUUUGAACUUGGAAUCUAAAGCCAUCAUAUUUAAUCUCAUAUGGUGCGAGUACAUUGGAAUUUUUGUUGUUGUUGUUGCUAAAAUACCAAUAUUUAACUUUUUCCUUAGGGAGGAUUGAUGUUAAAGAGGGGGGAGGACUUGAAAAUGGAGUUGAGGAAUGUCUCUUUUUACAUGGAAGUCAGUCCUGCUUACUUUCACAAGAAAUUGGAUUCAGUCAUUCCCCAAAUGUAAUAGUCAUGCAUGGGGAAUGCAUUACUAAUUUCUUUAAUUGUACUGCGUUUUAGUGCUCUACACUUUGGAGACUUGACUAGCACAUAAUGCACACAUGAAGCGAUAUAGCUUCUAACACUUGAUUAGCGUAUUUCCAAUUGACUAGUACAUUUGUGCAUGUGAUUGAAUCCCAUUUUUUGGAAAAGUAGCGUGAUUGAAUAGCAGUUUUAAAAAAACACAUUAUUGAAUUCCAUUUUCAAGCCUUCCUCUUUCCUAAAUAUUUAUAUUCUUUUCCCAUUUGAGUUAUUUUGUUGAAAAGGUUCUAUACAAUUGAAUGACAGUUGGAAACUCUCUUUAUUUCCUUUUCCAUGUGUAAGGGGCGACUCUCGAAAGAGGAAGGUUGGGUGGCUAUUCUUUUUUCAUUCAUAUAAAAUUUUACCGAACUAUGCUUCUUUAGUUGAAUUUGAAAUCUGAAUGCAUUUUUUGGAUGAACAUAGUAGUUAUUUUGGUUUUAUGUGGUAAAGCAAGUUGAAAAAAAUUUGUCCCCAAUAGCACAAUGUGGCAAAGUAGCCUGAAUUUUUUUUAUAAUAAUAAUGAGCAAAAUUAAAUUAUAUAAAAAAAAAACAAUCACUGAGAUGUGGUUUUAUAUAAAUAAAUAAACAAUCACUAAGAUGUGAAUUCCACCUUGCCAGAAACUAUUCAGAAAAUUAAGGUUUAUACUCAAGCCUGGUGGGAUGCUAUUCCCAAAACAAUUCCUAGUCAACCAAUCAUUCAAAAUCCUUUUUUUACAUAUUCAAACAAAAUUACGCCAAAAAUACUCGAAUUUGUCAGAAACAAAAUUAGUUAUGGAUUUCAUGAAGCAACAAUUUCUCCAGACUAUUUCCAAUGAUGACACCUCCAUGAAAUCCGUUACUGGCAGUCUAGACCAGGAAGAUCUAGACUAUGAUAAAAAUGAAUUUGUUGCUCUAGCCGGCGAAUCACAGGAUCCAGCAGAAGAUGAACCCAACUUUGGUGAUUUUUGGGAUUCACUCACCAGCAUGAUUGCUGAAAAGAUUGAUAAGGAAAAAGAUAAAAAAGAAAAAGGCAAAGCAUGAGUCUUUAUCUCGUCUGCCACCAGAAUAAUUCAUCUGGAGCGUCGGUACAAAACGACAACUAACAGUACACCUACUUUUUGUAAAAGCAGUUUCUUGUCUGCCAUCCAGCACAAAGACCAAUAAUUGUCUCACUCUAGUCCAAAGAAGAUAAGGAUGUUGAGUCAAAAGAAAAUUUCCAUUCAACUUUGAGGAUAUGGAUGAUUGACUCCAACGACCAAGGACAUGCCACUAGUCCUCACCUUAUCUUAUCUUUUCUUUUAUUUUGUCUAUAAAAGGGAUAACCUCACCCUUGUUGAGGCAGAGUUGUUUUUAGAGUUUUCUUUCAAGAAUUUGUUUUCUUUUCAAGUAUAAUAUCCAAUUGCUCUCUCUCUCUCUCUCUCUCUCUCUCUUGUAAAAUUUCCCAGUUUAUGAUAUAUAAAUUAAGUGUUGAAGAAUUAUGUUGUUUUGAAGAUUCUGGUUGUAAGUAUUUUCUUCUUUAGUAUGUAUGCCUAUAAAUUUACUUGUUGAUUUGAUUAAUGUUUUAGAAUUUUAUCUUGAUAGUAGAAAUAUAUAUUUACAACAGCUUCAAGCUAACGAUCCGUAUUUAUAGCCGUAUCUUUCUAACUAGUUAGAAUUUUUUAAUCAACGAAUAACCAAGAUCCAACAGCAGAUCCAGGAGCAAAUUUGCUUCUGGGCGAUUGCCGGCCGAUCUCUACCUCAACAGUAAAACCAUGAGACCAUAUAUGUAGGAAUUUAAAUCUAAUAUAAUAAUAAUAUAAAUGAUAAUAGUCUUGGGUUUGUGUUAAAUAAGGGUAGAACAGAGUAAGGUUGAGUGAGACGUCAUCCAAGUCGCGUAUAGGUUAGAAGAUCAUAGUUGCAGUGAUUGUGUAUAGGUUGGAAAGAUAUGGAAUAUUUUUUUUAUCUUUCCUUUUGAAAAUUAUAAAUUAUGGAAUUAUUAAUAUUUUGAAAACUAUUACUUUAAUGGAUUAGCCAAAUUAAAUUUUAAAUUUUAAUUUAGUAAUAUAGUAAUAUACUAAUAAAUUUUAAAGGGAAUAAUAUAGUAGGAAAUAAAAUUUAAAAUAUAGUAAUAUAGUAGGGAAUAAUAUAGUAAUAUAGUAAUUUUGAAAAUGCCAAAUUGGCAUUGGCUCUUCAAUCUUUCCCUUUAUAAAAUUCCUUCUCUUUAUAAUAACCGGUGAUUUUGAAAGUGCCAAAUUGAAAUAAUAACCGGUGAUUUUGAAAAUGCCAAAUUGAAAUAAUAACCCCUGCCUUUUUCUUUUCUAUUAUUUUUUUUGAACAACAACUCCUUUAAAUAUUUGGAAGGUUCCUUAUUUUUAUCAUGAAUUUUAAAAAUUUGAAAGUAAUUAUAUAUGGUAUGAAUAAUAUAGUAAUAUAGUAGAAACAAAUUUUAAUUUUUUUAAAGGAAAUAAAAAUCAAUGGGAGAUGAUUAGGUUGGAAAGAUAUGGAAUAUUUUCUUUAUCUUUCCUUUUGAAAACUAUAACUUAUGAAAUUAUUAAUAUUUUGAAAACUAUUACUUUAAUGGAUUAGCCAAAUUAAAUUUUAAAUUUUGAUUUAGUAAUAUAGUAAUAUAUUAAUAAAUUUAAAAGGGAAUAAUAUAGUAAUGUAGUAGGAAAUAAAUUUUAAAAUAUAGUAAUAUAGUAGGGAAUAAUAUUGUAAUAUAGUAGUAACAUAGUAAUUUUGAAAAUGCCAAACUGGUGUUAACUCUUCAAUCCUUCCCUUUUUAAAAUUCCUUCCCUUAAUAACAGCCGAUGAUUUUGAAAAUGCCAAAUUGAAAUAAUGACCCUUACCUUUUUUUUUUUUUUUUUUUUUUUUUUUU